GACGAACCGUGCGAACGUUGUUCGGAAUCACUGGGCUUAAAGGGCGCGUAGGCGGGCAUUCAAGUCAGGGGUGAAAUCCUCCGGCUCAACCGGAGAACUGCCUUUGAUACUGGGUGUCUCGAGUGAGGUAGGGGCAUGCGGAACUGAUGGUGGAGCGGUGAAAUGUGUUGAUAUCAUCAGGAACUCCGGUGGCGAAGGCGAGGUGCUGGACCCUUUCUGACGCUGAGGCGCGAAAGCCAGGGGAGCAAACGGG
rnacentral:rRNA from 1 species